rnacentral:rRNA from 1 species
UACAGAGGGUGCAAGCGUUGUUCGGAAUUAUUGGGCGUAAAGCGCGUGUAGGCGGCUUCGCAAGUCGGGUGUGAAAGCCCUCGGCUCAACCGAGGAAGUGCGCCCGAAACUGCAGAGCUUGAGUACCGGAGAGGAUGGCGGAAUUCCCCAAGUAGAGGUGAAAUGCGUAGAUAUCUGGAGGAACACCGGUGGCGAAGGCGGCAUCCUGGACCAUUACUGACACUGAAAAGCGAAAGCCAGGGGAGCAAACGGG